GGUUUGAUCCUGGCUCAGAGCGAACGCUGGCGGCAGGCCUAACACAUGCAAGUCGAGCGCCCGUAGCAAUACGGGAGCGGCAGACGGGUGAGUAACACGUGGGAACGUGCCCUUUGGUUCGGAAUAACUCAGGGAAACUUGAGCUAAUACCGGAUAAGCCCUUACGGGGAAAGAUUUAUCGCCGAAGGAGCGGCCCGCGUCCGAUUAGCUAGUUGGUGGGGUAAUGGCCCACCAAGCCUACGAUCCGUAGCUGGUCUGAGAGGAUGAUCAGCCACACUGGGACUGAGAUACGGCCCAGACUCCUACGGGAGGCAGCAGUGGGGAAUAUUGGACAAUGGGGGCAACCCUGAUCCAGCAAUGCCGCGUGAGUGAUGAAGGCCUUCGGGUUGUAAAGCUCUUUCGGCGGGGAAGAUGAUGACGGUACCCGCAGAAGAAGCCCCGGCUAACUUCGUGCCAGCAGCCGCGGUAAUAC
rnacentral:rRNA from 1 species